CCUACGGGAGGCAGCAGUGGGGAAUAUUGGACAAUGGGGGCAACCCUGAUCCGGCCAUGCCGCGUGUGUGAAGAAGGCCCUCGGGUUGUAAAGCACUUUCAGUGAGGAAGAACGCCUGGUGGUUAAUACCCAUCAGGAAAGACAUCACUCACAGAAGAAGCACCGGCUAACUCCGUGCCAGCAGCCGCGGUAAUACGGAGGGUGCGAGCGUUAAUCGGAAUUACUGGGCGUAAAGCGCGCGUAGGUGGCUUGAUAAGCCGGUUGUGAAAGCCCCGGGCUCAACCUGGGAACGGCAUCCGGAACUGUCAAGCUAGAGUGCAGGAGAGGAAGGUAGAAUUCCCGGUGUAGCGGUGAAAUGCGUAGAGAUCGGGAGGAAUACCAGUGGCGAAGGCGGCCUUCUGGACUGACACUGACACUGAGGUGCGAAAGCGUGGGUAGCAAACAGGAUUAGAUGCCCGGGUAGUC
rnacentral:rRNA from 1 species